AAACAUCGAACAUACUUUGGGGCAAUGUUUUAUCUUGAAACUUUCUAUUGGGAGGAGGUAAUUAAUUGUGAAAUUCAAUCCAUUGUAAGUCAUAACGAAGAGGAAACAAGUGGAUUUUUCUUCUUUAGAUAAUAAAUGAAUCUUCAAGACAAAGAUAAAAGUUGAAAAUAUUGACAAACAAACGGGCUAAGUGAUUAACUUACCCCCCAGCCCCAAAUCCCCUUUGCCCUCGUUCAAGACUCUCAACCCUAGCACCAGCAGCUAGUUCCACUCUCUCUAUCUUUCUCAAAACACCUUUUUUUUUUGUUCUUUACUUCGUCUGCGGGUCUGCCUCUGAUUGUCUUCUUCUUUUGUGCUUUCUUUAUCAGCAACCCAACCGUUGAGCACAUCAUUGGGUGAAAAAGCUAUUUGCGGCGUGAAGAGAUUGAAUUGGUAUUUAAAUUGGCAUAUUCCUCUGUUUUAGCUGGCAAAUAUAUAGAAUAAAAUGGCAUGCUUGACUCUUGGAGUAAUGAA